rnacentral:rRNA from 1 species
AACGAACGCUGGCGGCAUGCCUAACACAUGCAAGUCGAACGAAGCCUUCGGGCUUAGUGGCGCACGGGUGCGUAACGCGUGGGAAUCUGCCCCUUGCUUCGGAAUAACAGUUAGAAAUGACUGCUAAUACCGGAUGAAGUCUUCGGACCAAAGAUUUAUCGGCAAGGGAUGAGCCCGCGUAGGAUUAGGUAGUUGGUGGGGUAAAGGCCUACCAAGCCGACGAUCCUUAGCUGGUCUGAGAGGAUGAUCAGCCACACUGGGACUGAGACACGGCCCAGACUCCUACGGGAAGCAGCAGUGGGGAAUAUUGGACAAUGGACGCAAGUCUGAUCCAGCAAUGCCGUGUGAGUGAUGAAGGCCUUAGGGUUGUAAAGCUCUUUUACCAGGGAUGAUAAUGGCAGUACCUGGAGAAUAAGCUCCGGCUAACUCCGUG